rnacentral:tRNA from 1 species
CUGGAGAGGACGAAAGAUCGACAAGGUUUUUGUUCUUGUACUGCUGGUGUUGUUUAUUCAAGAUAUGAUUCCGUAAUGAUACGGAAGAGAGAAAGUAAGAAGCCGGGUCUAAUCAAACAGACUAGGUUGAACUUAGUCCUAUAGCUCAGUUGGUUAGAGCGCUACACUGAUAAUGUAGAGGUCGGCAGUUCAACUCUGCCUGGGACUACGAACGGAAUCAAGUUCGGGGGAUUAGCUCAGCUGGCUAGAGCAUCUGCCUUGCACGCAGAGGGUCAACGGUUCGAAUCCGUUAUUCUCCACUCCAUCGGAAACGUAAGAAACGAAGAUGAACGAUCUAUGACAUAUUGUACAAGCAAACAGUAAUUUUAGUAGUAAAGAGCUGAAAGUAUAUAUCAUCCCGCUGGCACGCAAGUGUGAGCGAAUGGAUAA